CCAGACUCCUACGGGAGGCAGCAGUGGGGAAUAUUGGACAAUGGACCGAGAGUCUGAUCCAGCAAUUCUGUGUGCACGAUGAAGUUUUUCGGAAUGUAAAGUGCUUUCAGUUGGGAAGAAACAAAUGACGGUACCAACAGAAGAAGUGACGGCUAAAUACGUGCCAGCAGCCGCGGUAAUACGUAUGUCACGAGCGUUAUCCGGAUUUAUUGGGCGUAAAGCGCGUCUAGGUGGUUAUGUAAGUCUGAUGUGAAAAUGCAGGGCUCAACUCUGUAUUGCGUUGGAAACUGUAUAACUAGAGUACUGGAGAGGUAAGCGGAACUACAAGUGUAGAGGUGAAAUUCGUAGAUAUUUGUAGGAAUGCCGAUGGGGAAGCCAGCUUACUGGACAGAUACUGACGCUAAAGCGCGAAAGCGUGGGUAGCAAACAGGAUUAGAUACCCUGGUAGUCCACGCUGUAAACGAUGAUUACUAGGUGUUGGGGGUCGAACCUCAGCGCCCAAGCAAACGCGAUAAGUAAUCCGCCUGGGGAGUACGUACGCAAGUAUGAAACUCAAAGGAAUUGACGGGGGCCCGCACAAG
rnacentral:rRNA from 1 species